AAAGGAAAUAAAAAGAAAAAACUGCCUAACUAGACUUAAACCGUCCAAAAACCGAAAGAAACCUCUAGAACCCUAAUAAAAUCAAACCAAGCUUGAAUUGGACCGGAUCGAGGUAGAUAACCUAUCACUGAAGGAGAGAUAUUACAUUUUUCUUCCUUCUCCCUCUCUCCCAGAGAUCGACAACCUUAUCCCCUUCUCUCCCUUCAUUCUCUAACCAUCGGCGAUUAAACCUGAUAAGCAAGUACUUAAAACAAUCUCCUCAAUGAGGCAGACCUGAAUAUAGCCUUGAAUCCGGCUGUGGUGGCCGCGUUAAGGAGAAAACAAAGAAAGAAGGUUUCAGUACUAUGGCAAUUUGAUUUUUUGGCGAUUCACACCAUUUUCGGCAGUUCUAGUGUUAAGGGUAGACACCGGUCGACUCUCUCUUCCAUACUAUCAUUUUCCCUCCAAUUUCGGUGGUGGAGCAUGGGGGACUAAAACACCAUAAGCAAUGGAGAUUUAGUGGUUGUCGGAGCUUUUCCGACCAAACGGGCCACUGAUUCAAUGAUUAGACACCGAAAUUGAGCUCUUUGUGAAAUUUCGAGCCUGGGGAUGUAUAAAUAACCUAAUUCUGGUAAAGCCCGACUUUUUGACCACUGUGCAUGGCAGUCGGUGUUAGUGGUUUGAUGACUGGCCGACGAGGCUUUGGUGACUGCCCAGCGAGGCUCCGGCGAGACCCAAGAGGCAGAAUCUCUGUUUCCUCGCUCUGAACUCGAAUCCGCGAGCCGAUUUUUGAUUGAAAGAUAAGAAGAUGGCUCCAUGUGCUCUGAUUUAUGGAUUCCGAUCUAGAGCACUACCAAUGAUGUGGGUCACCCUAGGGUGAGAGCACGAGUAUGGUGAGAAUGCCGUCAGUGCGCCGUAAGCGGGUGGAGUGGCGCCCCAUGUGCACUCCUUGAUUUGAUGCACAUUAGUGAUAAAAGAAAAAAAAGCGAAAAAGAAAGGUAAAAUAAAAAAGAAAAGAAAAGGAUUAUUUGAUGGACGGGGUCAUUAAGCCCAAACGGGGGGUGGGGUCCCCAAGUGCACUUGACAUAAGGAUCAUGGGAUGGAUGCAGAAGAAGAAAAAAAAAAAAAAUCUUAUGUCUGAUAUUCUGGAGAGCGGCGACAUCAUCAUCAUCAUCAUCUUCUUUCAUUAACGCAUGAUCUGAAAAGCUUCCCUUCCGUCAAACCACUGCUACCUUACCGAUGACUUUUUCUGGCUAAAGUCCACCAUCCGAAGCUGCUAAAUGGCUGAACUUGGCGUCUCCGUCGGGUAUUGCUUCAUGCUCUUCGUCUUCUGUGUUUUCCACUACUGUUCAGCCGUCUAUGAAUCUGUUUCUAUAUUGUGGGAAUGGUAAAUUUGAGAUAGAUGUCUGUUGUUUUGAAUACUAAAGAUUUGGUUUAAAUGGAGAAAGAUGUUAUAUUUUCGAUGGAAAUAUGUGCCUGCCAAGUGUUUGUAAAAAUGACAGAGUGAAGCCUACCAAGUGUUUGUAAAAAUGACAGAGUGAAUAAGGAGCUACAUUAUGAACGUGAACAUGUUGCAA